rnacentral:rRNA from 1 species
AUGGCAAUUGGCCACGCUUGUGAGUGGUGCGGUGCAUACCUUGGCGACGUCGAGGGGGUUGACGAGGACGGCGGAGACGACGGCGGCGCCGGCCGCCGCGACGGCCCGCUCCGCGAACCCCAUGGCGCGCUCGGGCGGCGGCGGCGGCGGCGGAGCGAGCUGCUGCUCCGGGGCUCGCUCCGCGGUGGCCAUGGCGAGGAAGGAGAAGGGGAGGAGGCGGUGGUUAAGGGCCGACCACAAAUCGCGGCGGCGUGGAGGAAUCCUGGAGAGGAAGGGGGAGGUGGUGGUCUGGUGGACGCUCGUUCGCGUCGACACGGCUCGUUUUCGAAGCGUACAGCUCCCGAGAGAGAUGAAGAAGCCACCACCGCUACCGCGCCGUGCACACGUGGCCCGCUCGCAGCUACGUGUGUGCUUACGCGUGAGCUGCCGACUUGCGUCGUUGUUGCGAGAAGGAUGACGCUCAACUGCAUGGACGUCGAGCCUUGUCAAACUUCCUCUGCUAUAUACAACUCCAUGAUAACAUCAACGUUCUUCCAUACUCCUACCUGUGUGGAUCACAUAAGCCCAGGGACAACAUGGCUUUGCUUCACGACCGGAGCUGAAAGAAUAUAUACUUGCCAGAGAGACAAAGGUAAGACAAGGCAAGAAACAUCAGCAUCGGCGCAGUACAAGACAUCUCCAUGA